rnacentral:rRNA from 1 species
GCUGGCGGCGUGCUUAACACAUGCAAGUCGAACGGUGAAGGGGCCUGCUUUUGUGGGUCCUGGAUGAGUGGCGAACGGGUGAGUAACACGUGAGUAACCUGCCCCCUUCUUCUGGAUAACCGCAUGAAAGUGUGGCUAAUACGGGAUAUUCUGUGCCUGCUGCAUGGUGGGUGUGGGAAAGAUUGCGCCUUUGGGUGUUUUUGGUGGGGGAUGGGCUCGCGGCCUAUCAGCUUGUUGGUGGGGUGAUGGCCUACCAAGGCGGUGACGGGUAGCCGGCCUGAGAGGGUGGACGGUCACACUGGGACUGAGACACGGCCCAGACUCCUACGGGAGGCAGCAGUGGGGAAUAUUGCACAAUGGGCGCAAGCCUGAUGCAGCGACGCCGCGUGAGGGAUGGAGGCCUUCGGGUUGUGAACCUCUUUCGCCAGUGAAGCAGGCCUGUCCCUGUGUGGGUGGGUUGACGGUAGCUGGAUAAGAAGCGCCGGCUAACUAC